rnacentral:lncRNA from 1 species
UUCCAAGGGCCCUUCUAGGAGAACAGCGUGCGGUCUCCAUGGUGCCGGGUCAUCCGAGUCGGGUCACGUGGCUGGCGAAAGCCGUCGCGGAGGCGUGGGGAGGAGAAAUGGGCGGGAGGCUGUGGGGAUAGCGAGACACCCAGCGACGACGAGGUUGUCAUGGUGCCGCGGGGCCGUGCUCGCGCAUGCGCCACCUGACCCACAGGCCGGUCGUGGAGCUGCGACCCCGGCCCUAGGGCAGUCCAGAUGAAAAGAGUACCAAUGAAUCUGCCUCCAGCUGAAUAAACCAUGGAGAGGAAAAACCCAUCCAGAGAGAGCCCCAGAAGACUCUCUGCCAAAGUAGGCAAAGGCACAGAGAUGAAGAAAGUGGCUCGUCAGCUUGGGAUGGCUGCUGCUGAGUCAGACAAGGACUCUGGCUUUUCAGGGCAGCAGCUCAUCCCAGCUCCAGUCGUGGACUGUCCAGCCCUCCUUUGAAGUGAUCUCAGCACAGCCACAGCUCUUAUUCCUUCAUCCACCUGUACCAUCUCCUGUCAGUCCAUGUCACACUGGUGAGAAAAAGUCCGACU